rnacentral:ncRNA from 2 species
UGGGCCAACGGCGGUGGAGUUCGCCGAAACCGUCCCCGCUCAUUGGGGGGACUGAUGACUCCUACUCGAGG